AGACGCUCGUACGAGCGAUUCGUCUUGCCCCCGCCGCUUGCACGAACCAGGAGCGAGCCCCCCUCGCGCAAAAAAGCCCGGCUAGGGUUCCACCCACCGCCGCCUCCCUGCCACAUUCGCUCCCUCUCUUCGCUGAUCCACCUACGACACGCUUCUCUUCUUCGAUGCGGCCUAACCGCGUCCCGUUCGCCCGCCCGGCCACCUGCCCGUGAGGGUUUCCGCGGCACCGCCGCCGGCGGCUGCCAUUCACGCCCACGCCGAGGGAAAGGCCGUAGUCAAGCCGUGGGGCGGGGGCAUCGGCGACGGGGCUGAUGCGACGGACCUCCAUGCGCCCUCCAAACCGAAUGCCCUCUCGUCCACGUCUACAUCUGUCCGUCUAUCUCCUCUGAGUCAGAGUGCCCUCCGUCAGAACUCUUUGUCAGCAUGGCGGCCGGUGGCAGCGGCCAUCUACGAUCUGUUCGUGCGUUGCCCUGAUGGAGGCGGUCGUGCUCCAUAGCAAGGCAGAAAGGGAAACCAACUUCAACUUUGCGAGGAGAAGUUCCGCAUUUGAGAAGCCGGAGAAGAGUAUCUCACUAAGUACAGAUUCGAGUGACUUUGCCAACUUGCUGACAUGGGGUCUCGUUCAGAGCACAAGCUUCACCUGAAUAACCUUCUUUCAGUUAGUAAAACACUCAGCAAAGCAGCCGACUCCGUCGAUGUCGUGCUCAUUUACCAGCCAUGCAUUCCAGACAAGUUGAAUGCCGGUGGCAACAGGCAUUCAACGGCACCCUCGUCGGCGCUCUACUCACAGGACCCCGCCUCCCACGCUGGACCUCCUUGCCGCCCGCACAACGCUAUUACUCCACGCACGCAUGGCCAAACUUCCUCAUAGGGGUGCGUAGGUGUGUCGUUCCUGCAGACCUAUUUUUUGGUGCUACGUCGACAUGCUAGGCCACGCUUCAUCUUCGACUGGCUCAACCUCCACGGCACGGCGUAGCCGCGCAGGCUACAGUCCGCCCAAGCGCCGGGAUGUGCAAGGCGUUCUGGGGCGUGUGUACGCCGACUAAUGUGACUUUCUGCUUUACUCAGCGAGCAAUCCCAGGGAUUUCUUUUUUUUGGAAUUCAUUAUACAUUCUGUUUUUUAUUUAAUUUUAGGGCCUCAUGUGGAUAUAUCUGUUGCAGAUUGGUGAAGAUAAAGCUGCCGAUGUGGUGCUCACUGCUCACCUCGGAUGCAAUUCAAAAUUAUGUUGAUUUAUGUUCCUCUGUGUUAUAGUUUAUUCUGGUUUUUAGAAAUACUAAUAUUUUUUCAGUAAGGACAGUGACUAUUCUUA